AACCUGCCUUGGANAGGGGAAUAACACAGUGAAAAUUGUGCUAAUACCGCAUGAAGCAGUUGAGUCGCAUGGCUCUGACUGCCAAAGAUUUAUCGCUCUGAGAUGGCCUCGCGUCUGAUUAGCUAGUUGGUGGGGCAACGGCCCACCAAGGCGACGAUCAGUAGCCGGACUGAGAGGUUGACCGGCCACAUUGGGACUGAGACACGGCCCAGACUCCUACGGAAGGCAGCAG
rnacentral:rRNA from 1 species